rnacentral:rRNA from 1 species
GACGAACGCUGGCGGCGUGCUUAACACAUGCCAGUCGAACGGAAAGGCCCUGCUUUUGUGGGGUGCUCGAGUGGCGAACGGGUGAGUAACACGUGAGUAACCUGCCCUUGACUUUGGGAUAACUUCAGGAAACUGGGGCUAAUACCGGAUAGGAGCUCCUGCUGCAUGGUGGGGGUUGGAAAGUUUCGGCGGUUGGGGAUGGACUCGCGGCUUAUCAGCUUGUUGGUGGGGUAGUGGCUUACCAAGGCUUUGACGGGUAGCCGGCCUGAGAGGGUGACCGGCCACAUUGGGACUGAGCUACGGCCCAGACUCCUACGGGAGGCAGCAGUGGGGAAUAUUGCACAAUGGGCGGAAGCCUGAUGCAGCAACGCCGCGUGCGGGAUGACGGCCUUCGGGUUGUAAACCGCUUUCGCCUGUGACGAAGCGUGAGUGACGGUAAUGGGUAAAGAAGCACCGGCUAACUACGUG